ensembl:lncRNA
GUCUUGCUGUCUGUGGGAAUUUUUCCUUACUAGAUUUCAUUUUUGAGAAGUUUUCUUAAGGCAAAUGGACUUUACAAAUCUUAGUCCACUGAAACUGAGCUGUCUUAAAAGUCAAAUCUUCUCUUUUGGCAAAAUAUAAUAAAUAUAAUGCAUGACAUGAUGUGGCAUUACAUAACAUAGCAUAACAGUGGUAUUUCUAAAUGAGUAGAGUUCCAGGUUAAAAUUCAAGGCAAGCUGUGUAUAAUAAAAUAUUUGAUCCAUUUAUAGCCUAAAUUCCUUAGGAAAAGAUAAAACUUGUGAGAAGAAAAAUACCUUCUUUUUUAUAUGACAUAAUGGGACAUGGAAAGAUUUGGGUCACAAUUUCAAUAAUUCUGAAAUCCUGUAUAGACUGUGGGACAGAAGACUGGACUUUGAAAGAUGCUUAGCUGUAUUGGCCCUGAGCUAUUCCAAAUAUUUGAUCAUAAGAACUGGAGCAAGAGCAGGUUGAUGCUGUGCUCACUUGGAAACCUGUCACCAGUGAUGUCACUAGCAAUGGAAAAUAGAGAAGCUGUUUUGAAAAUCUGUUUCACUGCAGGAAAUAAACAUGGAUGCUGACAUUUAACCCAGUGUCUAAGCAAAACAUCUUUCUGGCUUUUUGUAAGUAUUCUUGAUAGACAGAGGGGUAAAGGGGAAGGAAACAGAAUGACUGAAAAGUGAUAGAGAGGAAUAAGGGCAGCAGGAUAGCAGGUGUAGGAAGAAAAUGCCAUGGACAGUACUUUGAUGGCAGUGAAAGAUGCAGCCUAUCACAAUCCAUGUCAGAAGUAGCUUGAGAUGUUGGAAGCAGUAAGAAAUGGGAAUUAUUUUUCCCACAGGUGUUGCUGUUGAGCAGAAAUUGGAAGGAAACUGUAAAGGUGAAUAGACUGAGAAAAUGGUCCUGCCCAUCAUCACAGGAAACCAUAAACCUCACCACUGUGGGACAGGAGUGACCAGCCAUGACCAUUUUUGCUACCUUAGGAACAUCCCCAUUCACUCUAUUUUUCAGAUAAGAAACAGAAAGAAUGACUUACUAGGGAACCGAGUUAAAAACAAAAGAAGUGAAGAUUGGUCAUCUCUGCAGAGGAAAUUACAAGAAAAAACUAUUGAUGCGUCUUCCUGACAGGUCUUUCUCAGAAGAAACAGCUGCAUAAUGUGGAAUCAGUUGUGUGAAAUUCUGUUGGCAAGGCCUUUGACUUUCAACUUCUGCUGGAUCCAGCUGAGUGAUCAAAGAGAGAACUUUUGCAGGUAUUUGUCUUCACCUUACUAAUCUCACCUUAAUGAGAUGCAAAUUAUUCCAGAAUAAUAAUUUCAAGAAACACUUGUGUUCCUUCUGAGGAAAUGCUAUGAGGGUGAUCUGGAAUGCCAGGAGUUUGGUGUUGAGUGGGCCCAUUAAUCCUACUGCAUCCAAGUCCAGUGUUUUAGUUAAAUUUUAAGCAAGCUAGAGACUUUAUGGUAAAUGCAGGGUAUUUUAAGACACAUUUAAGACUACACUAGAUACACUACUCUGAAGAUACACUAGAUGUCUGUUUUGACAUAGUUUUCAUCUCUCAAAACCAGCAUCUCAAUUGUUUGGUUAAGUAUCCUGUAGAUGUCAAAGAACAUUGCUGAAUCUAGAAAGGAAGGUCUGGUCUUGAUCUAAGCAUCUCUGCCUUAUAAUGAGGUACUGUCUAAUAGCCUUCAUAGCAAACAGUUAAUACAGACACGUGCUAAAAGGGGCACUUGUCCCUGUUAAGAGGAGUGAAAAGUGCCCUCCUCAUUCCCAUAACUAAAGGCCAGAUUCCUCACUGAAUUUCAAGCAACCUGUCCUGGCAUCUGUGGCUCUUGUGAUCAUGACUUUGGGGGUUACAGAAUCACAGUUCCCUUCUUGUCAAAGCCAGAAGUAGGAGGUGGUCCCUGUGUCAGUCCAUGUACCCUAAAUGAUCUUAGCACUGAAGAGUCUCAAAGCUGGUUCAUGGACAUUACAAAUUUGUUCUCCUCAGCACACAGAGGAAGAACACAAUAUUUUAGAGGUGUGGAAGUGAAGCACAGCUGUGAAUAUUUUAAGAUGUAUAACAUUAACAGAUAGGGGUAGAUCUUUAAAAGCCUUCAGUACGGGUCAGUUUGUAGCAUUUUCAGUGAGACUGACAGCUGAGUUUCCCCUUGAAAAGUCUGUUUUUAGUAUCUAAAGAAGCCAGAAGAACUGAUCUUAUUUUUCUGAGAACUUAAUCCAAGUAUUUGCUCAAGAUUAUGAAAUAAAUAUGUGGUCCAGUUGGUAAAUUAAUCCA